UCCACGGACGCGGCCCGGAUCCGCUCUGCGACUGUAGUUCCCGCUCACUGAAACCGCGCCCGGGCUGGAUCCGUGUUACAGCACUGUAACAGAUGUAACUGUAACGCGGAUUUGCCGGUUUUAAAACGGAUCUGGCGCAGAGUCAGCUGCUGUCUGGGUGCAAUGACAAA